CGCCUGUUUAUCAAAAACAUCACCUCUAGCAUUAUAAGUAUUAGAGGCACUGCCUGCCCAGUGACACACGUUAAACGGCCGCGGUAUCCUGACCGUGCAAAGGUAGCAUAAUCACUUGUUCCUUAAUUAGGGACUUGCAUGAAAGGCAAGACGAGGGCUUAACUGUCUCUUACUUCCAAUCAGUGAAAUUGACCUACCCGUGAAGAGGCGGGUAUAAAUAAAUAAGACGAGAAGACCCUGUGGAGCUUUAAUUAAUUAUCCUACCUACUAAGACUAACAACCUACUGGAUCAACAAACAUAAAGAGCUAGGAGAAGAAUUUCGGUUGGGGUGACCUCGGAGCAUAAAAAAACCUCCGAAUGAGUUAACUCUAGGCUUACCAGCCUAAAGGUGCAUAAGCAGUCAACAAUUGAUCCAAUAAUAAAAUUGAUCAACGGACCAAGUUACCCCAGGGAUAACAGCGCAAUCCUAUUUAAGAGUCCCUAUCGACAAUAGGGUUUACGACCUCGAUGUUGGAUCAGGACAUCCAAAUGGUGCAACCGCUA
rnacentral:rRNA from 1 species